GACGAACGCUGGCGGCGUGCUUAACACAUGCAAGUCGAACGGGGGCUUCCGCUUUUCGGAGUGGGGGUUCUAGUGGCGAACGGGUGAGUAACACGUGGGCAACCUGCCCCCGGCUUCGGGAUAACUCCAAGAAAUUGGGGCUAAUACCGGAUAGUCACUGCUUGCCGCAUGGUGGGUGGUGGAAAGGGUUUCUGGCGGGGGAUGGGCCCGCGGCCUAUCAGCUUGUUGGUGGGGUGAUGGCCUACCAAGGCGACGACGGGUAGCCGGCCUGAGGGGGUGACCGGCCACACCGGGACUGAGACACGGCCCAGACUCCUACGGGAGGCAGCAGUGGGGAAUAUUGCGCAAUGGGCGGAAGCCUGACGCAGCGACGCCGCGUGGGGGAUGAC
rnacentral:rRNA from 1 species